rnacentral:rRNA from 1 species
UACGGAGGGUGCAAGCGUUAUCCGGAUUCACUGGGUUUAAAGGGUGCGUAGGAGGGCAGGUAAGUCAGUGGUGAAAUCCUAGAGCUUAACUCUAGAACUGCCGUUGAUACUAUCUGUCUUGAAUAUUGUGGAGGUGAGCGGAAUAUGCCAUGUAGCGGUGAAAUGCUUAGAUAUGACAUAGAACACCAAUUGCGAAGGCAGCUCGCUACACAUAUAUUGACUCUGAGGCACGAAAGCGUGGGGAUCAAACAGG